UACGUAGGGUGCGAGCGUUGUCCGGAAUUAUUGGGCGUAAAGGGCUCGUAGGCGGUUUGUCACGUCGGGAGUGAAAACUCGGGGCUUAACCCCGAGCCUGCUUCCGAUACGGGCUGACUAGAGGUAUGCAGGGGAGAACGGAAUUCCAGGUGUAGCGGUGAAAUGCGUAGAUAUCUGGAGGAACACCGGUGGCGAAGGCGGCGUCCUGGACCAACACUGACACUGAGGAGCGAAAGCCAGGGGAGCAAACGGG
rnacentral:rRNA from 1 species